AAACCACCUCGCCACGGCCACACUGCCAGACUGAACAGGGCGAUCCCCUCCGCUCUCGGCACCGUCCGCCCAUUCCCCGCUUGGACCCGAUAGGAAGACUGAGAGGCCAAAAGGAGACAAAAGCUUCUCCGUCGUGGUGGCGAGACGGCGACUUUUUCAAACCAAAGACUUUGCCGAUUUCCCAUAAAAUGCCCACCCUUCCUACUGGUGUCCAGCACUGGGAGGAGCCCCCCAGCAAUGCGAUCUGGUCCCCAGCACCGACAGAAUCUGGCACACUCCAGGGACUCAGGAGCUACUUUCCUGAAAAAAGGAAAAGUGAAAAUCCCGUAUCAGAUUAGCCAGAGGAUCAAGUAGAGGUCUUCAGAGCCUAGGCAAGAUGGGAUAGAUGGACCGGUGGCUUCGAUAUCCUACAGAAACCCUCACCCAACACCUUCUGAUUGUAUGACCUUGGCAAGUCUUCUCACCUCUCUGCCUGUUUCCUUUAUGCAUAAAAGGAGUCUGAGAAGCCCCAGAGAUAGCGUCUGAGAAAGGCUUUGUAAAACAACAACAACAACAAAACAAAAACAAAAACCUGAGGGGCCUGCCCCAGUAACGAGAAAUGAAGAAAUUCAAAGAGGAAGAAGAUGGAGGUCUGCUCUCACAAAGCCACUAGCUCUUCUAAUUCAAGGGAGAAGGUGCGCCUUAGCCCCUGAUAAGGUACAGCUAGACUGUGUGAUACUAGCCCAGGGAGAGACCAAGAGCCUGGUGGACCAGAACAAGGGCUGCCAAAAUAGACUCACACAUGUAUGGAAACCUGGUAUGCGGCAAGAGCGGUGCUACACGUCACUGGGAAAAGGGUGGGCUUUUCUAUCAAGGAUGUUUUUUAGAGUAACUGGAUAUCCACA